AUUGAACGCUGGCGGCAUGCUUUGCACAUGCAAGUCGAACGGCAGCGCGGGCUUCGGCCCGGCGGCGAGUGGCGAACGGGUGAGUAAUACAUCGGAACGUGCCCAGUAGUGGGGGAUAGCUCGGCGAAAGCCGGAUUAAUACCGCAUACGACCUGAGGGUGAAAGCGGGGGAUCUUCGGACCUCGCGCUAUUGGAACGGCCGAUGGCAGAUUAGCUAGUUGGUGGGGUAAAGGCCUACCAAGGCGACGAUCUGUAGCUGGUCUGAGAGGACGACCAGCCACACUGGGACUGAGACACGGCCCAGACUCCUACGGGAGGCAGCAGUGGGGAAUUUUGGACAAUGGGCGAAAGCCUGAUCCAGCAAUGCCGCGUGUGUGAUGAAGGCCUUCGGGUUGUAAAGCACUUUUGGCGGGAACGAAAAGGACUGUGCCAAUACCACGGUUCGAUGACGGUACCCGCAGAAUAAGCACCGGCUAACUACGUG
rnacentral:rRNA from 1 species